CANAANAAGCNCCGNCUAANUACGUGCNAGCAGCCGCGGUAAUACGUAGGGCGCNAGCGUNNUCCGGNANUNAUUGGGCGUAAAGAGCUCGUNNGCGGUCUGUCGCGUCUGGUGUGAAANCCCGAGGCUCANCCUCGGGCUUGCAUCGGNUNCGGGCAGACUAGAGUGCGGUAGGGGAGACUGGAAUUCCUGGUGUAGCGGUGGAAUGCGCAGAUAUCAGGAGGAACACCGAUGGCGAAGGCAGGUCUCUGGGCCGCAACUGACGCUGAGGAGCGAAAGCAUGGGGAGCGAACAGGAUUAGAUACCCUGGUAGUCCAUGCCGUAAACGUUGGGCACUAGGUGUGGGGCUCAUUCCACGAGUUCCGUGCCGCAGCUAACGCAUUAAGUGCCCCGCCUGGGGAGUACGGCCGCAAGGCUAAAACUCAAAGGAAUUGACGGGGGCCCGCACAAGCGGCGGAGCAUGCGGAUUAAUUCGAUGCAACGCGAAGAACCUUACCAAGGCUUGACAUGCACCGGACGCUGCCAGAGAUGGUGGUUCCGCAAGGUCGGUGCACAGGUGGUGCAUGGUUGUCGUCAGCUCGUGUCGUGAGAUGUUGGGUUAAGUCCCGCAACGAGCGCAACCCUCGUCCCAUGUUGCCAGCGGGUUAUGCCGGGGACUCAUGGGAGACUGCCGGGGUCAACUCGGAGGAAGGCGGGGAUGACGUCAAAUCAUCAUGCCCCUUAUGUCUUGGGCUUCACGCAUGCUACAAUGGCCGGUACAGAGGGCUGCGAUACCGUAAGGUGGAGCGAAUCCCAAAAAGCCGGUCUCAGUUCGGAUUGGGGUCUGCAACUCGACCCCAUGAAGUCGGAGUCGCUAGUAAUCGCAGAUCAGCAACGCUGCGGUGAAUACGUUCCCGGNCUUUGNNCNCACCNCCNGUCAAGUCACGAAAGUUGGUAAC
rnacentral:rRNA from 1 species